AACGAACGCUGGCGGCAGGCCUAACACAUGCAAGUCGAGCGAGGACUUCGGUCCUAGCGGCGGACGGGUGAGUAACGCGUGGGAACGUGCCCUUUGCUACGGAAUAGCCCCGGGAAACUGGGAGUAAUACCGUAUGUGCCCGAGAGGGGAAAGAUUUAUCGGCAAAAGAUCGGCCCGCGUUGGAUUAGGUAGUUGGUGGGGUAAUGGCCUACCAAGCCGACGAUCCAUAGCUGGUUUGAGAGGAUGAUCAGCCACACUGGGACUGAGACACGGCCCAGACUCCUACGGGAGGCAGCAGUGGGGAAUCUUAGACAAUGGGGGAACCCCUGAUCUAGCCAUGCCGCGUGAGCGAUGAAGGCCUUAGGGUUGUAAAGCUCUUUCAGUGGGGAAGAUAAUGACGGUACCCACAGAAGAAGCCCCGGCUAACUCCGUGCCAGCAGCCGCCGUAACAC
rnacentral:rRNA from 1 species